AGGACGAACGCUGGCGGCGUGCUUAACACAUGCAAGUCGAACGGAAAGGCCCUUUCGGGGGUGCUCGAGUGGCGAACGGGUGAGUAACACGUGGGUGAUCUGCCCUGCACUUUGGGAUAAGCCUGGGAAACUGGGUCUAAUACCGAAUACACCUUGCUGGCUGCAUGGCUGGUGGGGGAAAGCUUUUGCGGUGUGGGAUGGGCCCGCGGCCUAUCAGCUUGUUGGUGGGGUGAUGGCCUACCAAGGCGACGACGGGUAGCCGGCCUGAGAGGGUGUCCGGCCACACUGGGACUGAGAUACGGCCCAGACUCCUACGGGAGGCAGCAGUGGGGAAUAUUGCACAAUGGGCGCAAGCCUGAUGCAGCGACGCCGCGUGAGGGAUGACGGCCUUCGGGUUGUAAACCGUCUUUACAGUAUCGACGAAGCGCAAGUGACGGUAGGUACAGAAGAAGCACCGGCCAACUACGCGCCAGCAGCCGCGGU
rnacentral:rRNA from 1 species